rnacentral:rRNA from 1 species
AACCUGGUUGAUCCUGCCAGUAGUCAUAUGCUUGUCUCAAAGAUUAAGCCAUGCAUGUCUAAGUACAAGCCUCACUAAGGUGAAACCGCGAAUGGCUCAUUAAAUCACACCUAAUCUACUGGAUAGUAAAAAGUUACUUGGAUAACUGCGGUAAUUCUGGAGCUAAUACAUGCACAAAGCCUCAACCUUACGGGAGAGGUGCUUUUAUUAGAUCAAAACCAAACGGCUUCGGCUGUACUCUUGGUGACUCUGAAUAACUUUGGGCUGAUCGCAUAGCCUUGCGCUGGCGACAUAUCCUUCGAAGGUGUGCCCUAUCAACUGUCGACUGUGGCAUAGACGCCCACAGUGGUUUUGACGGGUAACGGGGAAUCAGGGUUCGAUUCCGGAGAGGGAGCCUUAAAAACGGCUACCACAUCUAAGGAAGGCAGCAGGCACGCAAAUUACCAA